CCUACGGGAGGCAGCAGUGAGGAAUAUUGGUCAAUGGACGAGAGUCUGAACCAGCCAAGGAGCGUGAAGGAUGACGGCCCUAUGGGUUGUAAACUGCUUUUAUAGGGGAAUAAAAUGCUGCACGUGUGGGAUUUUGUAUGUACCAUAUGAAUAAGGACCGGCUAACUCCGUGCCAGCAGCCGCGGUAAUACGGAGGUUCCGAGCGUUAUCCGGAUUUAUUGGGUUUAAAGGGAGCGUAGGGGGCUUGUGAAGGCAGUUGUGAACGUUUGCGGCUCCACCGUUAAAUUGCAGUUGUAACUGGCAGUCUUUAGUCCACUCGAUGUAGGCGGUAUUCGUGGUGUAGCGGUGACCUGCUUAGCUCUCCCGAAGCACUCCGAUUGCGAAGGCAGCUCACUGCACUGCAACUGACACUGAGGCUCG
rnacentral:rRNA from 1 species